rnacentral:rRNA from 1 species
CAAAAACAUAGCUACUAGUAUAUUUUAGUAGUUUUUUCUGCUCAAUGAAAUUUAAAUAGCCGCAGUACCCUGACUGUGCAAAGGUAGCAUAAUCAGUUGGCUUAUAAUUGAAGUCUUGUAUGAAGGAAUUUAUGGGGGUUAACUGUAUCAAUAGUAUACUAUGAAAUUGCUUAAUGAGUGCAAAUUCUCAUGUUUAAAUAAUAGACGAGAAGACCCUAGAAAUUUGUAGAAUAGCUAAAACUUUGUUUUUGUUGGGGCAACAAAGUAACAAUUAAUUUACUUUUGCAGUACAAGAAAUUUGUUUGGAAGUUUAAAUUACUCUAGGGAUAACAGCGUAAUAUUGAAAUGUUUGCGACCUCGAUGUUGGAUUAGGAAGCGAGGGCUUAGAAGGUCCGAAGUUGUGCUCUGUUCGAGC